CUGGAGGAGAGGAGCAGAGCCCAGUGCCAAGAGGGGACCCAGCAAAGCCCCUGUGGGACCUGGGGGGAGCUGGGAGCUGUGUGGGUCAGGGAAGGAACUGGGAGCUGUGUGGGUCAGGGGAAGGAGCUGGGAGCUGUGUGGGUCAGGGAAGGAACUGGGAGCUGUGAGGGUCAGGGGAAGGAACUGGGAGCUGUGUGGGUCAGGGGAAGAUCUGGGAGCUAGAUUUGGGAGCUGUGUGGGUCAGGGGAAGGAAGUGGGAGCUGUGUGGGCCAAGGUAAAGAACUGGGAGCUGGAUGUGGAAGCGAUCUUGUAAAUAAUAAAUGACAAUGGGGUGGAUUGUUCUUGGGGAGCACCUUGGUUUAUUCACCAAAAUAACUCCACCAAGACAUGGAGAAUUCCAUUUUUUCCAGCUUCCUUCUGAUCUCCCGCCUUGGAAAUUC
rnacentral:lncRNA from 12 species